rnacentral:lncRNA from 1 species
GAGAACGGAGGUGCCUCCGACCCCCUAAGGUAUGCCUAGCCGCUUGCUGAUAUUCUUCUAGCAUCUAGGACAGGCUGCACGCCAGUGAACCCAGAAGACUCAGAGAUGCCCUAUCGGUGGCCUCAUCCCUCUACCUGCACACGGAAACGUGAAGCCUGGAGUCCCAGGCAGCACAUAACGCGGGCCUUAUAGCCUGAGCACAGGGCUAAGCUGCG